rnacentral:rRNA from 1 species
AAACCAACCGGGAUUGCCUUAGUAACGGCGAGUGAAGCGGCAAAAGCUCAAAUUUGAAAUCUGGUACCUUCGGUGCCCGAGUCGUAAUUUGGAGAGGGCAACUUUGGGGCCGUUCCUUGUCUAUGUUCCUUGGAACAGGACGUCAUAGAGGGUGAGAAUCCCGUGUGGCGAGGAGUGCGGUUCUUUGUAAAGUGCCUUCGAAGAGUCGAGUUGUUUGGGAAUGCAGCUCUAAGUGGGUGGUAAAUUCCAUCUAAAGCUAAAUAUUGGCGAGAGACCGAUAGCGAACAAGUACAGUGAUGGAAAGAUGAAAAGAACUUUGAAAAGAGAGUGAAAAAGUACGUGAAAUUGUUGAAAGGGAAGGGCAUUUGAUCAGACAUGGUGUUUUGUGCCCUCUGCUCCUUGUGGGUAGGGGAAUCUCGCAUUUCACUGGGCCAGCAUCAGUUUUGGUGGCAGGAUAAAUCCAUAGGAAUGUAGCUUGCCUCGGUAAGUAUUAUAGCCUGUGGGAAUACUGCCAGCUGGGACUGAGGACUGCGACGUAAGUCAAGGAUGCUGGCAUAAUGGUUAUAUGCCGC